rnacentral:rRNA from 1 species
AUGGUUAAGUUAGAAAGGGCGCACGGUGGAUGCCUUGGCACUAGGAGCCGAAGAAGGACGGGACUAACACCGAUAUGCUUUGGGGAGCUGUACGUAAGCGUUGAUCCAGAGAUUUCCGAAUGGGGGAACCCACUAUCUUUAGUCGGAUAGUAUCCUUACGUGAAUACAUAGCGUAAGGAAGGCAGACCCAGGGAACUGAAACAUCUAAGUACCUGGAGGAAGAGAAAGAAAAAUCGAUUUCCUGAGUAGCGGCGAGCGAAACGGAAAGAGCCCAAACCAAGAAGCUUGCUUCUUGGGGUUGUAGGACACUCUAUACGGAGUUACAAAGGAAUGUGGUAAACGAAGUGGUCUGGAAAGGCCCGCCAAAGAAGGUAACAGCCCUGUAAUUGAAAGCAUAUUCCCUCCAGAGUGGAUCCUGAGUACGGCGGAACACGUGAAAUUCCGUCGGAAUCCGGGAGGACCAUCUCCCAAGGCUAAAUACUCCCUAGUGACCGAUAGUGAACCAGUACCGUGAGGGAAAGGUGAAAAGCACCCCGGAAGGGGAGUGAAACAGUUCCUGAAACCGUGUGCCUACAAGUAGUUAGAGCCCGUUAAUGGGUGAUAGCGUGCCUUUUGUAGAAUGAACCGGCGAGUUACGAUUUGUUGCAAGGUUAAGCGGAAAAAGCGGAGCCGUAGCGAAAGCGAGUCUGAAUAGGGCGCAUGAGUAACAGGUCGUAGACCCGAAACCAGGUGAUCUACCCAUGUCCAGGAUGAAGGUGAGGUAAUACUCACUGGAGGUCCGAACCCACGCACGUUGAAAAGUGCGGGGAUGAGGUGUGGGUAGCGGAGAAAUUCCAAUCGAACCUGGAGAUAGCUGGUUCUCUCCGAAAUAGCUUUAGGGCUAGCCUCGAGGUAAAGAGUCGUGGAGGUAGAGCACUGUUUGGACUAGGGGCCCUUCUCGGGUUACCGAAUUCAGAUAAACUCCGAAUGCCAUGUACUUAUACUCGGGAGUCAGACUGCGAGUGAUAAGAUCCGUAGUCGAAAGGGAAACAGCCCAGACCACCAGUUAAGGUCCCAAAAUAUAUGUUAAGUGGAAAAGGAUGUGGGGUUGCAUAGACAACCAGGAUGUUGGCUUAGAAGCAGCCACCAUUGAAAGAGUGCGUAAUAGCUCACUGGUCGAGUGACCCCGCGCCGAAAAUGUACCGGGGCUAAACAUAUUACCGAAACUGUGGAUGAACCUCUUUGGAGGUUCGUGGUAGGAGAGCGUUCUAAGGGCGGUGAAGUCAGACCGGAAGGACUGGUGGAGCGCUUAGAAGUGAGAAUGCCGGUAUGAGUAGCGAAAGAAGGGUGAGAAUCCCUUCCACCGAAUAUCUAAGGUUUCCUGAGGAAGGCUCGUCCGCUCAGGGUUAGUCGGGACCUAAGCUGAGGCCGAUAGGCGUAGGCGAUGGACAACAGGUAGAUAUUCCUGUACCAGUGCUAGUUGUUUGAGCAAUGGGGUGACACAGAAGGAUAGGGAAUCGCA